rnacentral:lncRNA from 1 species
GACUGACACACUGACUGAUAUACUGACUGACUGACACACUGACUGACUGAUAGACUGACUGACUGAUAGACUGACUGACUCACUGACUGACUGACACACUGACUGAUAUACUGACUGACUGACACACUGACUGAUAGACAGACUGACUGACUGACACACUGACUGACUGAUAGACAGACUGACAUACUGACUGACUGAUAUACUGACUGACACACUGACUGAUAUACUGACUGACACACUGACUGAUUGACUGACUGACUGAUAUACUGACUGACUGACACACUGACUGACACACUGACUGAUAUACUGACUGACACACUGACUGAUAUACUGACUGACUGAUAUACUGACUGACUGACACACUGACUGAUAUACUGACUGACACACUGACUGAUAUACUGACUGACAUACUGACUGACACUGACAGACUGACAUACUGACUGACACUGACAGACUGAUAUACUGACUGACUGAGACUGACUGACUCACUGACUGAGACUGACUGACUCACUGACUAACUGACUGAGACUGACUGACACACAGACUAACUGAGACUGACUGACACACUGACUCACUGACUGAGACUGACUGACUCACAGACUGACUGAGACUGACACACAGACUGACACACAGAAUAACUCACAGACUGACUCACAGACUGACACUGACUGAGACUGACUCACAUACUGACUGAGACUGACACAGAGUGACUCACAGACUGAAACUGACUGACACACAGACUGACUGAGACUGACACAGUGACUCACAGACUGACUGAGACUGACACAGUGACUCACAGACUGACUCACUCACAGACUGACUGAGACUGACACAGACUGACUGAGACUGGCUGACACACUGACUGAUACACAGAAUAACUCAGACUGACUGAGACUGACUGACACACAGACUGACUCACAGACUGACACUGACUGAGACUGACUCACAUACUGACUGAGACUGACACACUGACACAGAGUGACUCACAGACUGAAACUGACUGACACACAGACUGACACAGACUGACUCGCAGACUGACACUGACUGAGACUGACUCACAUACUGACUGAGACUGACACACUGACUCAGAGUGACUCACAGACUGAAACUGACUGACACACAGACUGACUGACACGGACUGAUACUGACUGACACACAGACUGACUGGGACUGACACACUGAGACUGACUGAGACACUGACUGACACACAGUCUGACUGAAAGUAACUGACACACAGACACACUGACUGAGACUGAUUCACAGACUGACUGACUCACUGACUGACACACUGACUCACACACACAGACUGACUCACACACACAGACUGACCGACACAGACUGACUGACACACUGACUGACACACUGACUGACUGACACACUGACUGACACACAGACUGACUGACACACUGACUGAUAUACUGACUGACUGAUAUACUGACUGAGACUGACUGAGACUGACACACUGACUGAGACUGACUGAUAUACUGACUGACUGACUGAGACUGACACACACUGACUGACUGAUAUACUGACUGACUGAGACUGACACACACUGACUGAUAUACUCACUGACUGACACACUGAGACAGACUGACACAGACUGACUGAGACUGACACACUGACUGAGACUGACACAGACUGACUGAGACUGACACAGACUGAUUCACUGACUGAGACUGACUGACACACUCACUGACUGAGACUGACUGACACACAGACUGACUGACUGAGACUGACACACUGACUGACUGACACAGACUGACUGAGACUGACUGACUCACAGAUUGACUUACUGUGACUGACUGACAGACACUGAUACAUACAGGUAGACACUGACUGACACUAACUGACUGAUACAGACAGGCAGACACUGACUGACUCAUAGACUGACCAACACUGACUGACUGAUACAGACAGGCAGACACUGACUAACACAGACUGACUCACAGACUGGCAGACAUAGACAAUGACUGACAGAGACAGACACUGAUUGACUUACUGAUACAGACACUGACUCACAGACAUACUGACUGACAGACACUGUGUGACUAACUGAUACAGACAGACAGACUGACAGACACUGACUGACUCAUAGACUGACAAAUACUGACUGACACAGACUGACUCACAGAAGCAGAGGAACACAGGCAACACUCCAGGAUCAAGAAGGUAAGUUUAUUUCUGGAUACACCACCUCAUAAAGUGCAAUGUUUCGGCUCAACGGAGCCUUAAUCAUGCAUAAGGGAUACAACAUGAUAAAGUGCUUAAAUAACCCACACCCCAAUUAAACUAAUUAAUAGGGAGGUCCCUGUUCGGAAUCCGAACGAGGUGGAAGCAAUCUGCUAAUACUCCCCCUGAAUGGCGUUCGUCUAAUGAACGGGCUGCCACCCAGGGUUGGCACACGCCAAGGCUUCCCUUGCGGUUUGUGGUUUUCACACCUUGUUAGUGAGGUGUGAACAUUCUAACUAAACAUUCAAAAUGGGGUAUUGGGGAGACGAAUAGGCUUUGUUUGUACGCGGUCUCCCGAAUGGGGAGCAGGUCAAACACACACGAAAUCACAAAUCCAUGGGGAACAUGGGCAAAAUACACUUAAUACUUCUUAAGGUUUAGCGGUAAUCCCUCUACACAGACUGACCGAUACUGACAGAGACAGACACUGACUGGCAAAUACUCACAGACUGACUGACAGACACUGACUGACAGACACACACACUGACUGACCACCACAGACAGACUGAGAGAUACUGACUGACAGAGACAGACACUGACUGGCAAAUACUCAUAUACUGACUGACACUUACUGACUGAUAGACACACACACUGACUGACCGCUACAGACAGACUGAGAGAUACUGACUGACUGUGACUGACAGAGACAGACACUGACUGAUAGACAUAGACAGGUAGACAUCCGUGAGGUCCAGGCUUGUAAACUAGUCACCUGGAUGAGGUAGAUCUCCAUGGAGAUGGAUUCCCUCCAUCUUGAAGUGUCGAAAUAUCACAAAAGUAUUUAACUGACAGAGGUUGAUGAUUGACCUGAAAUCCCUGGUCUACGUCUUUACUAAAAAGUUGCUGAAGAAGCCACAAUUGUGAUUGACAAUCCAUAACUAUAAUUGUCCCUAUACGACUGGGAUGUUGGGAGGCCAGUGAUCUGGUAAAUGCAGAUAGCAAGUAAUGCAGAGCUCGACUGGGAAGCAGUAAUCUGCCUACUUCAGUCAGAAUGCGGAUAGUGCAAAUGGUGUGCACAAAAUGGCAGUAGCUGUCAAAGGCGAAAAAACAAGCUUCUAAUAUAAGCGAGCAGUGCUGAUACACUCCAGCAUGCUGGGGGGAGCAGACGGGAGGUUGUAUGAAUCGGAGAUAUAACACGCUAUAGCCCUCACAUUUCGUGGAAAGCAGCAGAGAGCUAUAAGUAUGCCCUGCAAACACCUGUAAACGGGACACAAAUGGCAAAAGAAGUAGAAGGGGCUUACAGUAUUAAAAUUAGUAUAAGUGAACAUUUUAGCCCCCAAUAAAUUGUGGAAUAUGAUAAUAGACUGUGUGGUAAUUUGAGUUAAGAAGGAAUUUUUUAAAUUGGAAUAAAAUUAGACAUUUUAGUGAAACGAUCCACAACCACAGGAAUAGUGGUUUGUGUGAUGAACUGAGCCUCGUCACGUGUUCUUGGAAGGGCCUGCUGGUCAGCCUCUUACCUCAGGACUAUGGGCCAGGUCAGCUACUAUAAAGACCCAUAUUUUAUUCACCCUGGUUCAGGACUUUCCAUAGAACCAAACGCUAGCUUACCGUCAGCCAUUCGCAUGGACCAAAACUGUGAAUAAACUUCAGGGGGCCUUAGCCGCGAAUGCCCUGGAACUAUUUUCGGCAUGAAAACUUUGCGGUUCCCAGUCGGUCCCCAGCGGCACUUAGCCGCGAUUCUAUGGAACUGUUUUGGGCAUGGGACCAUGCGUGCGGUCGGCCAAAACUAUGACUUUCCUGAACUGAUCUGAGUGUUUUUUGGAUCUGUUGGUCACCCAGAUCAGGGCUGUCAGGGGAUGUAACUUUUGUGGGGGUUUUGUGUGUUUUCAUGUAUUUUUGGGGGUUUGUAAAAAUUUGUGUUUGGAGAUAAUUGAGUUUAGUAUAGUGCUUAACUCAAUUAUCUCUCAGGCAUAGGGGAGGGAUUGACCUAUUUUGUAUGGGAGUGUCCUGGACCUGAGAGCUAAUGUUAUUGUGUAUUUGUUAAUACUGUGGUUUACUCUCAGGUCUAGGGGGGAGUGCCCCUUGCAUGGGGACUGUCAUAAAAGGCCAGUUGUGGCUACCAUUAAACAAGAUUUGUUUUGGGGGUUGGAGAGCUAUAGACACACUCUGGGGAUUGCUAUAAUCACUAUACUCCCUUGGAUCACAACACUUGUUCUUUUAAGAGCAGCCUGCUUCGCUCUCUGGACUAGGAGAGGUCUACCCACUGGAUCCUGGUCUUGGGUCCAGGGUGGGUGGAGGACAGCGAGAUCAGGACAACGAUCAGGACUAGGCAAAUUCAUUAAUAAUCCAUAAGGAUGUUGGAGGACAGGUUUAGAUGUUUGACAGACGUGGCAGGAGGACACAUAGGAAGAAACAGUAUUUACUAAAUCAGGCCACCAAAAAUGCCUGGUUGUUAGAUGGUUUUCUUUAUUCCUAAGUAUCCAGCAAGAGGAAGAUCAUGGACCAUUUCUAAUACUACGCUUCUUAGAGAAGGAGGAAUAUGCAACUUGUCCCUUUUGAAACAUACACCUUCUUGUUCGGUUAGAAGGGAAUUGAUAGUUCUUCUUUAUCAAUUUGUUUUAUUUUGUUUAUAAAUUGAGAAGUUAUUCCAAUAUACUUAGAAGGUGAUGUGAUUGAAGUAGGUUCAUUUGAGUUAUCAUCCUGAGAAUGCAUACGUGAUAGAGAAAGAAUCAGCCUUUUUAUUCUUUGAACCAGGUCUAUACACUAUGUGAAACCUGAACCUUUGAAAGAACAGAUUCUUUGUGCUGAUAAUGUUUUAGUAGUCUGUAGAAAUUCAAGGUUUUUAUGGUCGGUGUAGACGAGUAUAGGUUUUUCACUUCCCUCAAGUAAAUGACGCAAGCUUUCAAAAUAAGCUUUUAUUCAUAAUAAUUAUUUUUCUCCAAUUGCAUAAUUAUUUUCUCCUGGAGAUACGGUACGAGAAAAAAAGCAACAGGAUGUAAAGGAUCUUGAUGAUUUAUUUGUUGUGAAUAAGAGAAGAACCAAAGAAUUAGUAUUAAAAAAAAAAAUACAAAAACAAGUUCAACCUGGUUUGAAAUAAAAGCCAGGACCUAAAGCAGACCUGCACAACAGUAGGUAGCGGCCAAAAUUAAAUAUACCAAACGUCUUCCGACUAGAUAUGCACACUGACAGACAUACAUAUACACACAUUGACAGACACAGAGAUACACACACACACAGGGAGACCUAUAGAUAGGCACCCUGACAGACAUACAUAUACACACACUGACAGAUACAUACACACACACAAACAGGGAGACAUAUAUAUAUAUAUAUAUAUACACACACAGGGAAACAGAUACACACACUGACAGACAUACAUAUACACACACUGACAGAUACAUACACAGGCAGACAUACAGAUCCACAACACACACAGGGAGACAUAUAGAUACGCACACUGACAGACAUACAUAUACACACACUGACAGAUAGAAACACAGGCAGACAUACAGAUACGCACAUUGAGAGAAAUACAGAUACACACACACAGGCAGACAUACAAAUACACAACACACACUGACAGACACACAGAUACAUACAAAGGCUGACAUACAGAUACGCACACUGACAGACUUAUAGAUACACACACUGACAGUCACGCAGAUACACACACACUGACAGACAUACAGAUACACACACACACACACAUGCUGGUCAAAAUAUAAGCUUUUAUGGCCACCUUUCAGUUUGCUGCCUUUUGGGUGCUGGAGUGUGCCUUACCAUGUGUCCAGUUUGCAGGUUAAGGAUGUUGGGAGUUAGGGGCUUGCAGCAUGCACCCCAUCCUUUCCUGCCUUCUUUUCUCUGCUACAUCUGUGCAGCUCCAGUCUCUCCUGGCCUAGCCUCCUGUCACGAUUCCAGAACCUAACACGCUAACAGGUCACAGAGAGGAAGGAUGCUAUACCGGUCCUUAGAGUGGCCGGGCUUAGCACACUAACAAUAGUCAAGAGACAAGCCAAGUAAAGGGAGCCAGAAAACGGGAGAACGAGAAACAAGCCGAGGUCAAAGGAGUGGAGAAUACAGGAAAAUCGGAAUAACGAGCCAAAUAAUCGGUAACCAGAGAGCAACACAAGCAAACUGCACUACAGGUAACAUAAGACCACAACAGGGCACUGAGAGACAGGAAAGCUAAGUAUUUAACAGCAGUGCUUAAUUCUGAUUGGAUAAUUUCCAAUCAGAAUUAAUAAUCACACGUGGGAGAUAUCUAUACCUCCCACUGUGAUUAGGGUACUGUGGCUUUAACGCCGGGUCACGUGAGUGACCCUGGCGUUUACAUAAAAGCCGGGACUCCCAGCGUGCAGCGUUACACAUGCUGCUGCUGGGAGGCGAGGACGCAAGGGAAAGCUGCACGCCGCUCGCCCACAGGUAAGAGGAGGGGGGACCGCGGGCGACGAUGGACUGAGGGUGAGUGCUGCGAGCGGCAUGCAGCCUCCCCUCACAGCCGCCCGCGGAACCGUGACACCUCCUACCCAUCUUACGCGGCUCCGGUCUCUUGGAGGAAGUGACUCGCAACACUCACGUCCUCCCAGCUGGCUGCUGAUAAGCAAGGGGCCCGUUCACGCUGCUGACACAUGCCCACUGGUUGGCCCUAAGUGCAUAGGUCACCCGAUGGGCCUCCUAAGUGUGCGGGCCCCAAUGCUGCACAGCGGUUGCACCAGUGGUAGUUCCUUGCAGGCCACCUGAUAUUAUCUGGCGUGCCGCAUGUUGUGCAGGUCUGCAGCACUUUAUGCACGUAAAUCCGUUUAGUGACAGGGAGGGUUAUUCACUUAAAGGACCACUAUAGUGCCAGGAAAACAUACUCGUUUUCCUGGCACUAUAGUGCCCUGAGGGUACCCCCACCCUCAGGGUCCUACUCCCGCCGGGCUGAAAGCCUGUCAUUGGCUGAAUGCGCAUGCGCGGCAUGAGCCGCGCGCGCAUUCAGCCAGUCUCAUAUGAAAGCAUUCUCAAUGUUUUCCUAUGGACGCUGGCGUCUUCUCACUGUGAAAAUCAUAGUGAGAAGCGCGGAAGCGCCUCUAGCGGCUGUCAGUGAGACAGCCACUAGAGGCUGGAUUAACCCUAAUGUAAACAUAGCAGUUUCUCUGUUACUGCUAUGUUUACAGCAGAAAGGGUUAAUCCUAGAGGGACCUGGCACCCAGACUACUUCAUUAAGCUGAAGUUGUCUGGGUGCCUAUAGUAGUCCUUUAAGAGAGAAUGCAAAAUGUCAGGCCUGAUUAACUGAACUGAAAGUAUAGGUGAGACUGAGUAUUUAGACCUUAAAGGGUUACUCCAACCACCGUGACUAUUUCUACUUUCUGAAGUGAUCAUGGUGAUAGAAAUCUGGAUGUGCAGUCUUUCAGCUUAAAACACUGCACGUCCAGAGAUAUUUGAAUUUGUGUGCCGGGGGCUUGUUACUCCCUUGGCACAUGUGACUUACGCCUGCCGUUAGCAUGCACUGCACACUGGUUACAGACAUUCACUGCUGGAAAGCUCAUGCCUCUCCUUCCUCCCUCCUUUCCCUGACCACUCGCUCUCCCCAUCACUUUGCAGGCUCAGAGUGUGCGCAUGUGCUCCCAGACUUCUAUGAGAAGCCUUUGAUUGGAACUCCACACGUCUGCUGUGACAUCACAAAAGGGGCGUGCCGAGCGGCUCUGGGAGCUUUGCAAGAAAGGUAAGAAAAGUUUAGUUUAAAACUUUGUUUAGCCCUUUCUAGGGGGACCUAAAGAGUAAUGCUCAAUAGUACAUUAUACUAACAAAAAAGGGUUGGAGUAACUGCAUAACCAUGCAUAACUUUAAUCUUCUUAUUAGGGAACCGCCAUUUGCCAAACUUUUUAAUACUAUGCUUUCUUUUCCCGUGUAUUUAAUAAAUGUUUUUUUUUGUUUCUGAAAAAUAAAGGUCAAUGUAGAAAUUGACACCACUGUAAAACCCCUAAAAAUGGAUCACUCAAGAACUGUUAAAUGGUGCAUUCUAAUGACAUCAGAACUACUGAACUGGCAUGGAUUCAUUAUGAUGGCUCCAUUAAUUUACAUUUACACUAAAUCUAAGCAUCAUGUGAAAAAAGGGUAAACACACGUUAUUAUAAUGAUUUUCAAUUCUUUAUUCAGAAGUGUAAUUUCCAUAAAAAGCAAAGGUACUCCUUUAAAUGUUCUAAUUCUGUUACUGGCAUGCCCCAUCUGUGCUUUGACAGGUUAGCAUUGAAAGAAUUCCUGACCAAUCACAUACAAGUAUCUAAGAAUGAGAAAUGAUCUGUGUUAUUUGAAUGUUCAAUGUGUAACAAUAUACCAUGACAAUGCUAGUGACACUGCCAUUUAGUGAGGAAAUGUGGGCCUUGUCAUAACAGCCUCACCUUGACAACCCCUUAGUGUACAGAGGAGGUAGAUCUCUGCUUACCCUGUCAUUAACUGGGUAAAUUAAAGGCACCCCACCCUCCCGGGGAAUGCUUCCUGCUGAAAGGCUCUCUUAUCAAAACGUCUCUGUUCAGACUGGAAGCGGGCAUCUCCAUAAAGUAUGUUACUGUUACAAUGGGUUCUGCUGUGUGUCAUAUAGUAUCAGAGCUUACAUGUAUGUCUCAAGACACGUAUACUUUUCAAUUCUACAAGGCUUGUAUACACAGCAGCUAUUCACUGAACCCUCAAUUGUCAGAAAUCUAGCAUUACAUUUCAAAUUUAAGGUUAUAACUUCAUUUGGAAAGUCUCGGACUCUGAUUGCAGCUCAGCUAUAAAACUGUAAAUUGCCUUGUCAUAUCCCAAAAAUGUAUAGUUUAGUUUAACAAAUCUAAACCUCUUUAGUUUAGAAAAACGUUGCCUCAGAGGGGAUAUGAUAAUAUUAUACCAAUAUAUCCAGGGCCAAUACAAACCAUUGUGUGGAAAUCUAUUCACAAACCGGACUUUACAUAGGACACGAGGUCAUGCGUUUAGACUGGAAGAAAGAAAAGGUUUUUUUUUUUUUUUUACUGUAAGAACAAUAAGGAUGUGGAAUUCUCUGCCUGAAGAAGUAGUUUUAUGAGAGUCCAUACAGAUGUUUUAACAGCUACUAGAUGCAUACUUGCAAAAACAAUAUUCAAGGAUAUAAUUUUUCAAUGUACGGUAAUAGCUUCUUGAUCCAAGGAUAAAUCUGACUGCCAUUCUGGGGUCAAGAGGGAAUUUUUUUCCUAGUUUGUUGCAAAAUUGGAAGCGCUUCAAACUGUUUUUUUGCCUUCUUUUGGAUCAACAGGAAAAAACGAAUGUGAGGAAGGCCGAACUUGAUGGACCCAAGUCUCUUUUCAGCCUAUGUAACUAUGUAACAACAUUAAUAUUUGAAGGGAAACUAUAGUGCCAGGAAAACAAUUUUCCUGGCACUAUAGCUUGCCCCUCUGUCAAGCGUCGAUGUCCCUCAGUGCUGGCUCAGCUCCGCCCACGCUCCUCCCCCACCCAAUGGCCGCGCUCGCAUUAGGAUCUCCCUAUAGGAAAGCAUUAUUCAGUGCUUUCUUAUGGGGAUUCCGGUGACGCGAAUGGAAGUCCUCACGCAUAGCGUGAGGACGUCCAGCAUCGUUUAGGCGACCAAAGUAGUCUAAGCAUCCAAAAGUCACAUAGUUACAUAGCUGAAAAGAGACUUGUGUCCAUCAAGUUAAGCCUUCCUCACAUAUGUUGUUGCUGUUGAUCCAAAAGAAGGCAAAAAACCUAGUCUGAAGCACUUCCAAUUUUGCCACAAACUAGGAAAAAAUUCCUUCUUGACCCCAAAAUAGCAGUCAGAUGUCUCCUUGGAUCAAGCAGCUAUGACCCCACUAAUUAGAAAUUAUAUCCCUGUAUGUUAUGUUUUCGUAAGUAUUUAUCCAGUUGCAGUUUAAACCUCUGUAGUGACUCUGACAAAACCACCUCUUCAGGCAGAGAAUUCCAUAUCCUUAUUGCUUAUCUCCUUUCUUCCAGCCUAAAUGUGUGACCUCGUGUCCUAUGUAUAGCCCUGUUUAUGAAUAGAUUUCCAGAUAAAGGUUUGUACUGGCCCCGAAUAUAUUUGUAUAAAGUUAUCAUAUCCCCUCUCAGGCGCCGUUUUUCCAAACUAAACAGAUUUAAUUUUUUUUAACCUUACUUCCUAACUAAAAUGCUCCAUUCCUUUUAUCAAUUUUGUAGCUCGUCUCUGGACUUUUUCUAGUGCCAUGAUAUCUUUUUAGAACAGGCGCCCAAAAUUGCACAGCAUAUUCAAGGUGUGGUCUUACCAGCGAUUUAUAAAGACACAAAAUUAUAUUUUCAUUCCGAGAAUUUAUGCCCCUAUUUAUACAUGACAAAACCUUACUGGCCUUACCAACUGCAGAUUGACAUUGCAUAUUGCUGCCUAAUUUGUUAUCUAUAACAAUUCCCAAAUCCUUCUCAUGUGUGGUUAUCCCUAAUUCACUACCAUUUAGUGUGUAAGUUGCUUGUGCAUUCUUAACCCCGAAGUGCAUAACUUUGUAUUUCUCUACUUUAAAUCUGCCAUUUUAGUGCCCAGUCCCCCAAUCUAUCCAAAUCCCUCUGCAGCAAAGCAAUAUCCUGCUCACAUUUUAUUACUUUACAAAGUUUUGUGUCAUCUGCAAACACUGAUACAUGGCUUUCAAUGCCUAUUUCAAGAUCAUUUAUAAAUAUAUUAAAUAGAAGUGGUCCCAAAACAGAACCCUGAGGGACACCACUUACCACUUUUGUCCAGCCUGAAAAUGUACCAUUAAUUACAACUCGUUGUACUCUAUCCUUAAGCCAAUGUUCUACCCAAGAACAAGAAUAUUCAUCUAGACCAAUUUCUUUUAGUUUGAAGACUAACCUAUUGUGAGGAACCGUAUCAAAUGCCUUGGCAAAAUCCAAGUAGAUCACAUCCACUCUAGUGGCUGUCUACCAGAGGAGUUAAUCCUAGCAGGUAAUUAUUGCAGUUUAUAAAAACUGCAUUAAUUAAAUGCUCAGGUUUAAGGGUAAUGGGAGUUUGCACCCAGACCACUUCAAUGAGCUGAAGUGGUCUGGGUACUUACAGUGUCCCUUUAAUAACAGCCACUGCCUUGAAUAUAAAUUAUUUUUAUUCAAUAAUGUGUGAGAACAUCAGAGUACAGAAAACACACACAGGUUUACUGCCCUGUUACUUCCAUACUAAUCUGACAUACCAUGUGCUUUAUUCACUAAUCUUCAAAUUCAAUCUAAUUUGAAUGGUGAAAGUUAUACUGAAAUGGCCAACUGUAACUGGAGCUGAGUUGGGAUUUUUUUUUUUUGGCUCAUUUAAGUAAUUAAAUCCCUCUAUGUUGCCCCACAGAGCUGGUAUCAUAAUACAAAAUGUUACCACAAAUAAUAUUUGCAUUCUAAUUUACUAUUGUAAAAUUUGUUCGGAGUGGUUUGGUUGAGUGUCUAAGUGUGUGUAAGGAUUGUUAUGUGACACAAACGUCGGUCUGUAGAAUGAUAUCCAGACUCGAGUGUUUACAUUAAACGCUGUAAGUAUUGAAAUGUGUGAAGAAGCUUCAUGAAUCAUGGGGUUAGAUCAGCAACAUAAGUACACAUUAAAACUGCAAUUUAGUCAUGUCAUUCGUAGUACUCAGCAAUAUUACUUACACGCUUUUUAAGAACUGAAAUUUCAUCACAAGUGGCUCGCAUGCCACGGGUAUUACUAGAGGGGAAUACAAGAAUAGGAGAUUUGUAAAGUAAUAUCUGGAGAGCGUCACAGUGACUGAUCAACGUCUUUCAGAGAUAAAUGGCAGGUGUGCAGUAGCUGGCACAAAUAUUCUAAAGCACGUGGAAGAUCGAUGGUACAUUUAGAUUUUUGUGGAUUAAUCAGAAGGUUGUCUCUAGACAUAGAAACAUAAAAUGUGACGGCAGAUAAGAACCAUUCGGCCCAUCUAGUCCGCCCAAUUUUCUAAAUACUUUCAUUAAUCCCUGGCCUUAUCUUAUAGUUAGGAUAGCCUUAUUGGAUACUUUUACUGUUUUUAUAUACUGUUAAUAAUAAGAUUUUGGUCAUUUUUUACGUUUAAACCAUCAUCUUUUACUAUUACCUGGCUUUUUAUAUAUAUAUUUUAUACUAUAUACUUCUUUUAUUAUUUUUAUUUCCUGGAUAUUAUACUCUAAAGAAUCCUAGGUGGGGAUUAUACCACUUACGCUGUUACAUAGAGCAGUUAGCCUGCCCUAUACAUUGUGAGUAUAUUUUAUUUCAUCACCUAAGAUUUUAUUGAGAGCACUAUCGCUGUUUUAUCUUCUCUACGAGCUCCUGAUAUUCUCGUCAAGAUCACUCAUCCUAUAUCCUACAAACGGGGAUUAUACCGCUGUACGCCUAACAAACUAGAGCUAGCCAAAGCUCUACCGAAUGUGAGUGUAUCUAUUAUAUUUUAUAUCUUUUAUUGCAUGUGUGGAACAUACUGCACCAUUAUUGUUUCCAUUUUUAUUUCCAACUUGGUUACCUGCCACUACAUAGAAGAGGACACUUGCCGUAUAUCCUGCAAGCGGGAUACCGCUGUAAGCCAUUCACACCAGAGCUGGAUUAAGCUCUGUCAACUGUAAGUAAGAACUCUUCUAUUUUUACAUAUUUGGAUUAUCCUUCACGUCAUUGACAUCUUCUGGAUAUCGCAAAAAGUAGAACUUUGGAAACAACAAUAUAGAUCCUGUUGGACUUAAUAUUAUUAUUUAUUGUGCACAUUGGCGCAGACCCAUCCCCCCAUUUUCUAGGAUAGCCUUAUGCCUAUCCCACGCUUGCUUAAACUCCUUUACUGUGUUAACCUCUACCACUUCAGCUGGAAGGCUCUUCCAUACAUCCACUACCCUCUCAGUAAAGCAAUACUUCCUGAUAUUAUUUUUAAACCUUUGUCCCUCUAAUUUAAGACUAUGUCCUCUUGUUGUGGUAGUUUUUCUUCUUUUAAAUAUAGUAUCCUCCUUUACUGUGUUGAUUCCCUUUUAUGUAUUUAAAUGUUUCUAUCAUAUCCCCCCUGUCUCGUCUUUCCUCCAAGCUAUACAUGUUAAGAUCCUUUAACUUUUCCUGGUAAGUUUUAUCCCGCAAUCCAUGAACGCGUUUAGUAGCCCUUCUCUGAACCCUCUCUAAGGUAUCAAUAUCCUUCUGAAGAUACGGACUCCAGUACUGUGUACAAUCAGUGGUGUAUCCUGGUUUUGUGCUGCCCUAGGCAGGACAAAACUCAGACGUCCUCCCCCACCCCCCCCCGCACCAGCCCCACCCAACCCUUCCCCCCCCACCUUCUAAAUACACACACACACAUUCACUGACAGAUACGUAUACACACGCUAACAGACACACACUCACUAACAGACACACACUCACUCUAACAGACACACACUCACUCUAACAGACACACACACACUGACACACACAGACACACUAACAGACACACACACACAGUCAGACACACACAUACACACAGUCAGACACACACACACUAACAGACUCAAACUGUCAGACACACACACACUAACAGACACACACACUAACAGACACACACACACACACUAACAGACACACAGUCAGACACACAUACACACUAACAGAAACACACAGUCAGACACACACUAACAGACACACACUAACUCACUAGCAGACACACAGUCAGACACACACACACACUCACUCACAUUAACACACAUAUAUAUAUAUAUAUAUUUUUUUUAAAUUAAUUUAGCCCCCCGCCCCCCCCUCCUUACCUUUGGGAAUGCUGGUUUCUCCCUGGGGUCCAGUGGGGACGGGCGGGCAGGCGGCUGGCCAGGGAGCUCUUCCUCUGAGCUGUCCGCUCAGCUCCCUUGCGUGCCGCAGAGUGAGGCUGGGAGCGGGGUUGAUGGCGUCAUAUUCCGGCUCCCAGCCUCACUGCUAGCGAGGGAGCUGAGCAGAGUGCUCAGGGAAGAGCUCCCUCGCCAGCCGCCCGCCCGCCCAGCGCCGCCCACCCGCUCGGCAUGUCUGUUAGCCGCAAGGCUAACAAGGCAUUUGCCCUGGGCAUUUGGGGGCGGCGUUUUUUGCCGCCCCCUGAAAUAUGCCGCCCAAGGCAAAUGCCUUGUUUGCCUCGCGGCUAAAACGCCCCUGUGUACAAUACUCCAAGUGAGGUCUCACCAGUGUCCUGUACAAUGGCAUGAGCACUUCCCUCUUUCUACUGCUAAUACCUCUCCCUAUACAACCAAGCAUUCUGCUAGCAUUUCCUGCUGCUUUAUUACAUUGUCUGCCUACCUUUAAGUCAUCAGAAAUAAUCACCCCUAAAUCCCUUUCCUCAGAUGUUGAGGUUAGGACUCUAUCAAAUAUUCUGUACUCUGCCCUUGGGUUUUUACAUUCAAGAUGCAUUAUCUUGCACUUAUCCAUAUUAAAUGUCAGUUGCCAUAAUUCUGACCAUUUUUCUAGUUUACCUAAAUCAUUUGCCAUUUGGCUUAUCCCUCCUGGAACAUCAACCCUGUUACAUAUCUUAGUAUCAUCAGCAAAAAUACGUACCUUACCAUCAAGACCUUCUGCAAUAUCACUAAUAAAAAUAUUAAAGAGAAUGGGUCCAAGUACAGAUCCCUGAGGUACCCCACUGGUGACAAGUCCAAGCUUCGAAUAUAUUCCAUUAACUACAACCAUCUGUUGCCUGUCACUCAGCCACUGCCUUACCCAUUCAACAAUAUUGGAAUCCAAACUUAAAGAUUGCAGUUUAUUGAUAAGCCUUCUAUGUGCAACAGUGUCAAAAGCCUUACUGAAAUCUAGGUAAACAAUGUCUACUGCACCACCCUGAUCUAUAAUUUUAGUUACCCAAUCAAAAAAAUCAAUAAGAUUAGUUUGGCAUGAUCUUCCUGAAGUAAACCCAUGUUGUCUCUGAUUUUGAAAUCCAUGUGUUUUUAGAUGUUCAACAAUCCUAUCCUUUAACAUGGUUUCCAUCACUUUCCCCACUACUGAAGUAAGGCUUACUGGCCUAUAGUUGCCGACUCCUCCCUAUUACCUUUCUUGUGAAUGGGCACAACAUUCGCUAACUUCCAAUCUUCUGGGACUACUCCUGUUAACAAUGAUUGGUUAAAUAAAUCUGUUAAUGGUUUUGCUAGUACACCACUAAGCUCUUUUAAUAACUUUGGGUGUAUCCCAUCAGGUCCCAUUGACUUAUUUGUCUUUACUUUUUUUUUUUUUUUAAACUUUAUUUUUAUCGUGCAAGAAAUUACAACAGUGUCUGCGUAGCCACAAUAGCCGUAACAGACGCCUUCUUGUAUAACAUUCAAAAACAUUUUCGUGGCUUAUUUAAACUUAGCACGUUUUUAUCAUUGAAGGAUCGUUUAAGACAAUAUUAAGCUUUGUAUGAUUCAAUAUGUUUGUCAGUAACAGGUAACAGCAUUCAAGUGGCUAGGUCACAUAUUGGUCUACGAAUUUAGUAUUUAUGUAAGUAACCCGCUUAUCUAUGUGUAUGAGGUUGACAGGCUGGAAGGUAAUGUUUAUGUAACCUAACAGCUGUGGUAGGUAUGCCUUUAGAAUAGCUAGUCAAGCUUAAGGUUAUAGUUGUGUCGUGUGUAUGAGGUGCGCCCUGUACGUCCUAAAACACCUAGUGGCGUGAUGAACUAAUUCUCAAGCUAGUGGGGGCCGCGAUCUAACAUGUGAAGCAGGUGUAGGUAGUGUGAGAUCCUACUAGCCACCAGGUACGAUUCGCAUGGUGUAGUUUACGUAUGAGAAAACUGUUGCCUUGCGUGAGUGCCAUGACCAUUGUUUGCCUGGCCGCCGGGCACGGCAAGGCAUGACAGGGUGAAACAUUAUGCUUUUAAGUUCACAGUAAUUUUAAGGUAAGCAAUGUGCUAAUGAAAGGAAUAAAAGAAUAAAACAAUAAAAUAACAAUAAAAUAACAAUAAAACCGCUAAAGCAAUUUAGGUAGGUGCUUCUGGCGUAGAUGCAAGAUAGUUCAUCUCGUGCCCCCAUGGUAGGGCCUGUCCCCUCGGGACCUGCCUGUGGCGGUUUUAGCCCGGUUCCACUUCUGGUAAGUUGUCGAUUCUGGGGUGUAUAAGUCCGCUAGUGUCUCUUUUUUCCCGGCGUCUGUGCCAUAUAUUAAACGAGUUAAAAAAAAAAAAAAAAGAAGAAGGGUUUAAAUGGGGAGUCUCAGAUGAGAUCUAUUAAGCUGGAAGAUUUGUGGUGAUUCUCCGUAGAGAUGACUGGUUAGAGUUCAGGUUGUGGCCGUUCUGUAGGUGUCUUCUGCGGAAUUGCGCGGUACAAAUGGAGCGGCGCCGGCUGGGUCCCAGACAUGCGUUGCGGCCCCUGUCCCUGCUCCUCUGUUGUUUAGGGAGUCUUGUGGGAGGCCCAGGGUCUCUAAGAUGGCCACCGCCCCUUCGAAGUCGUGGACAGGGUAAGAGGUAUUACCUUGGAGGACGGCUAGAGUGCGGGAUCCUCUCCAUCUGUAUGCAAUGCUCCGGUCGCGGAGGAGCAGCGUGAAAGGCUGUAGUGUUUUGCGCCACGCCAGGGUGCUUCCUGAUAAGUCAGUGUAAAACGUGAGUGAUAAGUUCUCAAAGUUGUAGGGGGUCUUUCCUUUUAGUGCCCCCAUGACUGCUGCUUUGUCUUGCCCUGAUUGGAAUCGAAUAAUCAGGUCGCGCGGAGCUGUGGCUGGUGCUUUUUGUGGCCUCGGGAUCCGGAAUAUUUCUUCAGGUGUCACCGAUUUCGCCUGUUUAGAGGGCAGUAUCGCCGUUAGUAGACGUCUUAUCAGAUGCGGUAGUUCCGCGUCGGGGACUGUUUCUGCUACUCCCCUUAACUUAAGGUUUUUGCUUCGCCUGGAGUCCUCCAGUGCUGCAAACCGCUGUUCCGUAGCAGCGUGUUGUUUUUGCAGUGUUUGCACCUCUUGCUGUAGUUGGGUAAGUUGUGCCUUCGUAUUGUGGGUGUCGGUUUCCAGGGUACCCAUGCGGCCAGUCAAACCUUGUAGGUCUUUGCGGAAAGUCACCAAAUCCAUCUGGAUGUCUCUCCGCAGGCCCGCCAGUAGAUCCUGCAUGUCGGCUUUGGUGACUGGUGAUGACUCCGCAUGUGAGGUUGCAGGUACCGUGUUCCGGUUUAGUUCUCUCGGAGCUGGAGGUUGUAGAUCCCGGGGCUCCAAACUAUGGUCGUCCGAGAAGUCGGAGCUCUCCCCCAUGUAGGCCGCCAUUUUGGGCAUUGAGGCGCCAUGUGCCUGCCGCCAUAAGUCUCCGAUGCUCGCCCCCGGUUUCGGCUUGUCCGGCCUCUGUUUCUUUAUUUUUCGGCCCAUGCCGGUGUGGGCUGCCUGGGGGUCCAGGUGGGGUCCGUUUGUCGGUACUUGGGGUCGAUGAAAACCCGAAAUACGGGCCUCUGGUAUCGGAGCACAUUAGGCGUGCGACCGUUCCGUUCAACAGCUUAGCUCCGCCCCCUCAUUUGUCUUUACUUUUGACAGUUGAAAUAGAACCUCUUCCUCUGUAAACUCACGUGUAAUAAAUGACUCAUUUAUCCUUUUUCUAAACGGAGGUCCCUUUCCUUCAUUUUCAUCUGUAAAUACAGAACAAAAAUAUUAAUUAAGGCAGUCCGCUAGACCUUUAUCCUCUUCUACAUACCUUCCUUCUUUUGUUUUUAAUCUAACUAAGCCUUGUUUUACUUUUCUUUUCUCAUUUAUGUAUCUAAAAAAAGUUUUGUCCCCCUUUUUUUUACUGACUGUGCUAUUUUCUCUUCUGUGUGUGAUUUGAAAGCUCUUAUAACUUGCUUAGCCUCUUUCUGCCUAAUCUUAUAGAUCAUUUUGUCUUCCUCACUUUUUUUUUUUUAUAAUUACUAAAUGCUAACUUUUUGUUUUUAACUAUUUUGGCCACAUCUGCGGAGUACCACAGUGGUUUCUUUAAUUUUUUUAUUUUUUUUUAGACAAGUUGUGGUAUGUUGUGGCCAGUAUGUGCUCUGUGUGGAGCCUUUUCCAUAUCAAUUUACAGUGAUAAGAACUGUCAUUCUGUCACGUUAUACGAUGUAUUGAUUGAUAUAUGAGUUAGUUCGGUUAUAUGGAAAUGUGUAGCAUGCUUGGAGACAUCCAUAUUCAAUGGAAUAAGCUCCAAUGUUCCUUUUCUAUUUAAAAAGUUAUACAAUAUAUCCCAGAACUAUAUAUUUAAUAGUCAUUUCACACCCCCUCUGUACCCUCUGAGAAUUUUUCUCUUGGUGGGUAGAUAUUUCACAAGUCUGUGUUUGUUUAACCAAGAUUGACAAAGUUAAAAUAUGGGCCUUCCAUUUUUGGAAAACCCUUUUCUUCAAGGGCUAGAAGAUACAAGUGUCAGCACCUCGCCUCUUUGCCACCUCUGUGUUACCACAUUCCUUCCUUUUAUACUCCUUUCAAAGCGACCUGACCAUAGUGGUGUGCAGUCAUUUAGCAAAGUUUCAUAUUUAAUUUAGCCAUGCUUUGUUUUUUUUGUUUCAAUGGCUAGAACUUGACAAAAAAAAUGCAGAAGUGGUCAUAGUGGUUGGAGUAACCCUUUAAUUACUAACCUAACUAUACCUGACUCGCUCCCAGUCGUGACUCCUUAUACCGGUUGACAUGUUUUGAUCCACAUCUGCAAACCCUCAAGCUUAAAAGAGCACUAUAGUGCCAGGAAAACAAACUCAUUUUCCUGGCACUAUAGGGUUAUUAGGUUCCCCCCUCCCUCUGGGCUGAAUGGGUUAAAACCCCUUCAGCCACUUACCUUAAUCUAGCGCCGGGCUCCCUCAGCGCUGGUGACCUCUCUUCCCCCAGCUGACAUCAGGUCCUGAAUGGAGCCGCGCGCGCAUUCAUUCCAUCCAUAGAAAAGCAUUACUCAAUGCUUUCCUAUGGGGAUCUGAACUCACGCUAUGUGAGUUCAAUGCGAUUUUAAACAUAGAAACAUAGAAACAUAGAAUGUGACGGCAGAUAAGAACCAUUCGGCCCAUCUAGUCUGCCCAAUUUUCUAAAAACUUUCAUUAGUCCCUAGCCUUCUCUUAUAGUUAGGAUAGCCUUAUGCCUAUCCCACGCAUGCUUAAACUCCUUUACUGUGUUAACCUCUACCACUUCAGCUGGAAGGCUAUUCCAUGCAUCCACUACCCUCUCAGUAAAGUAAUACUUCCUGAUAUUAUUUUUAAACCUUUGUCCCUCUAAUUUAAGACUAUGUCCUCUUGUUGUGGUAGUUUUUCUUCUUUUAAAUAUAGUCUCCUCCUUUACUGUGUUGAUUCCCUUUAUAUAUUUAAAUGUUUCUAUCAUAUCCCCCCUGUCUCGUCUUUCCUCCAAGCUAUACAUGUUAAGAUCCUUUAACCUUUCCUGGUAAGUUUUAUCCCGCAAUCCAUGAACCAGUUUAGUAGCCCUUCUCUGAACCCUCUCUAAGGUAUCAAUAUCCUUCUGAAGAUACGGUCUCCAGUACUGUGUACAAUACUCCAAGUGAGGUCUCACUAGUGUUCUGUAUAAUGGCAUGAGCACUUCCCUCUUUCUACUGCUAAUACCUCUCCCUAUACAACCAAGCAUUCUGCUAGCAUUUCCUGCUGCUCUAUUACAUUGUCUGCCUACCUUUAAGUCAUCAGAAAUAAUCACCCCUAAAUCCCUUUCCUCAUAUGUUGAGGUUAGGACUCUAUCAAAUAUUCUGUACUCUGCCCUUGGGUUUUUACGUCCAAGAUGCAUUAUCUUGCACUUAUCCACAUUAAAUGUCAGUUGCCACAAUUCUGACCAUUUUUCUAGUUUACCUAAAUCAUUUGUCAUUUGGCUUAUCCCUCCUGGAACAUCAACCCUGUUACAUAUCUUAGUAUCAUCAGCAAAAAGACAUACCUUACCAUCAAGACCUUCUGCAAUAUCACUAAUAAAAAUAUUAAAGAGAAUGGGUCCAAGUACAGAUCCCUGAGGUACCCCACUGGUGACAAGUCCAAGCUUCGAAUAUAUUCCAUUAACUACAACCCUCUGUUGCCUGUCACUCAGCCACUGCCUUACCCAUUCAACAAUAUUGGAAUCCAAACUUAAAGAUUGCAGUUUAUUGAUAAGCCUUCUAUGUGCAACAGUGUCAAAAGCCUUACUGAAAUCUAGGUAAGCAAUGUCUACUGCACCACCCUGAUCUAUAAUUUUAGUUACCCAAUCAAAAAAAUCAAUAAGAUUAGUUUGGCAUGAUCUCCCUGAAGUAAACCCAUGUUGUCUCUGAUCUUGAAAUCCAUGUGUUUUUAGAUGUUCAUCAAUCCUAUCCUUUAACAUGGUUUCCAUCACUUUCCCCACUACUGAAGUAAGGCUUACUGGCCUAUAGUUGCCCGACUCCUCCCUAUUACCUUUCUUGUAAAUGGGCACAACAUUCGCUAACUUCCAAUCUUCUGGGACUACUCCUGUUAACAAUGAUUGGUUAAAUAAAUCUGUUAAUGGUUUUGCUAGUACACCACUAAGCUCUUUUAAUAGCUUUGGGUGUAUUCCAUCAGGUCCCAUUGACUUAUUUGUCUUUACUUUUGACAGUUGAAAUAGAACCUCUUCCUCUGUAAACUCACGUGUAAUAAAUGACUCAUUUAUCCUUUUUCUCAACUGGGGUCCCUUUCCUUCAUUUUCAUCUGUAAAUACAGAACAAAAAUAUUCAUUGAGGCAGUCAGCUAGACCUUUAUCCUCUUCUACAUACCUUCCUUCUUUUGUUUUUAAUCUAACUAAUCCUUGUUUUACUUUUCUUUUCUCAUUUAUGUAUCUAAAAAAUGUUUUAUCCCCUUUUUUUACUGACUGUGCUAUUUUCUCUUCUGUGUGUGAUUUGGAAGCUCUUAUAACUUGCUUAGCCUCUUUCUGCCUAAUCUUAUAGAUCAUUUUGUCUCCCUCACUCUGGUUUUUUUUUAUAAUUCCUAAAUGCUAACUUUUUGUUUUUAACUAUUUUGGCCACAUCUGCGGAGUACCACAGUGGUUUCUUGAAUUUUUUGCUUUUACUGACAAGCCUAAUGCAAUUUUCUGUUGCCUUCAAUAGUGCAACUUUUAAAUAAUCCCAUUUUUCUUGGACUCCAUUUAAAUUGCUCCAGUCUGAUAAUGACUCCUCUACCCAUAUUCUAAUUUUAGAAAAGUCUGUUUUUCUAAAGUCUAAAACUUUUGUUUUUGUGUGGUGUGACUCAGUCACUGUUCUUAUAUUAAACCACACUGACUGAUGAUCACUGGAUCCUAAACUUUCACCUACAGUAACAUCUGAUACCAAAUCUCACACUGAGAACCGCAGAAGCGCCUCUAGUGGCUGUUGGCUGUCAGUGAGACAGCCGCUAGAGGCUGGAUUAACCCUGCAGUGUAAACAUAGACCACUACAUUGAGCUGAAGUGGUCAGUUUGCCUAUAGUGGUCCUUUAAGUCCAUCUGCCCUCAAGCUGUUCUCUGUGGAUUUAUACUUUAGAUUGAACGAUACAUUGGAUCAUGGUGCUGUUGCUUGAAUAAAAAUGUAACAUUUAUCAGCAAAACUUAGGUUAUUUUUUUUAAGUCUUCACAAACAAUUCUCUCCAUAACUAUGCCGCAGCUUACAUAUACUCAUUAACCCCUUAAGGAUGGAGCCAAAUGUACACGUUGUGAACGAAACAAAAUGUAAACAAAACCUGGCAUUUGCGCUACAUGUCUGUCCAACCGUAAUUCACCUCUUAUAUAUUAUAUGCACCCACCCUUAUUAUAUAUCAUUUUAUUCAGGGGAAACAUGGCUUUCAUUUAAUAUCAAAUAUUUAGCUAUGAAACAUAAUUUAAUAUGAAAAAAAUGGGAGAAAAUACAAGUUUUUUUUAUUUUUUUUUGUUCUACAUGACAUUUUAAUUGUCAAUGUCAUAAUACUGUUUGCUUUUACUGCAAUAAAAUACACAUAUUUGUAUUCAGCAAAGUCUCACGUGUAAAACAGUACCCCCUAUGUACAGGUUUUAUGGCGUUUUGGGAAGUUACACGGUCAAAUAUAGCAUGUUACAUUUGAAAUUGAAAUUCGCCAGAUUGGUUACGUUGCCUUUGGGACUUUUUAUAGUAGCCCAAGAAUGAAAUUUACACCCAUAAUGGCAUACCAUUUGCAAUAGUAGACAACCCAAGGUAUUGCAAAUGGGGUAUGUCCAGUCUUUUUUAGAAGCCAUUUGGUCACAAACACUGGCCAAAGUUAGCGUUAGUAUUUGUUUGUGUGAAAAAUGCAAAAAAACGCCAAUUUUGGCCAGUGUUUGUGACUAAGUGGCUACUAAAAAAGACUGGACAUACCCCGUUUGCAAUACCUUGCAAGCCUUAUAUUUGACGCUGUAACUUUUGAAAACACCAUAAAACCUGUACAUGAGGGGUACUGUUGUACUCAGGAGACUUCGCUGAACACAAAUAUUAGUGUUUCAAAACAGUAAAUUAGAUCGUCCGUGUAAGUGCCAUUUGUGUGUGAAAAAUGCAAAAAAUUUCAUAUAUAUAUGAUCUAAGUAUAAUUUUUUUUUUUUUUUUUACACCUUUAACAUUUAUUUGAUUUUAUUUUCAGCCAGCAGGGGGACCACCUGUCAUUACAGGCAGCCCCCCUGCUGGCAAUGCAGGAGGCAGCCUACCCGGCCAUGUGAUUGUGAGGUCCUCGCAAGGACCUCACUCUCACAUGGCCGGGGGGCAACGGAGGAGGAGGAUGUGCUGCGGGGGGGCUCCCUGGGAGUCCCCCCCCACCGCGAUCGCCGGCGUGGGACCGCCGGCGACCGGGUAAGUAAUAAAAGACCGGAGGGCGUACAAUUACGCCCGGCGGCAUUUAGAGCCGCCUAAAAUAAGGCGUAAUUGUACGCCCUCCGGUCUUAAGGGGUUAAAGGACCACUAUAGUGCCAGGAAAACUGUAACGGACCGUUUUGCCCAAAAGAGGUUAAAAACCGUUUAGGCGAUAUUCCCCUUUUUCAGCUGCACAGACAGCUACUGCAAGCACCAAUCUCCUGAACUGCUAACCCACGAAUUCACCAACUCCCGAACUGCAUACCAAGGGAAUACUGGAAACUCCCGAACUGGAGACACACGAAUAGCUGCUGGCAGACGAACAGGAAAAGCCCCCAAGCGGCUUACACUCCUGGCAAUCAGUCUCUAAUAGCAUACAGUAAAUCCUCCCCCAAUAAUGAGACAACACUUCACUUUGAGGGUUAAGCAGGAACUGGUUUACUGGGGCUAACUGCCCGGCUUUUAUGCAGGUCUCCCACCUGGUGGACACUCCCCUAGGGGACUAAAUGGGAAACUGGGAAACAUAUUGGCUCUCAGCCAAUCACAGACAUACACCUUUAAACACUCCCACAAUUACAUCACAAUCCCUCCUCUCUGCUCUGGAGAUAAUUGAGAAGUAAUUCAAUUAUCUCCAAAGACAGAGGCAAAACUCCGUUAACCACAUGGCAGAAAACAAACAAUAAAAGAUAUAAAAUUACCUACAGUUACAUUCAGUACAUAAAACAUAUACGUUCUACAUAUCCCCAGAUAGCUCAGGUCUGAGCGCACAUUAUUAAGCGAAUGGCACUCAGACCACACGAAUACAGUUUAAUCGCCAUGGAGCCAAAGUCUUUACACAGUCAGUUUCAUGCGAAUGGGCUCCAUGGGAUUCCUAUCUGGAGUACAACACACUCAAACAAAUCUACCGAACACCCGGCAGAAAAGCACGAAUAAGUCUUUUCUGCAGGGAAAAAGAUGUCUUUUAACAUGGGGCCAUAGUCCAAAGGCAGCAGGCGAGCAAUCAGGCUUCUCCAGUGUACAGUGGCGAGGUUGGUUUCGCCACAAAAACAUACUCGUUUUCCUGGCACUAUAGUGCCCUGAGGGAGCCCCCACCCUCAGGGUCCCCCUCCCGUCCAGCUCUGGGGAGAGGAAAGGGUUAAAACUUACCUUUUUUCCAGCGCCGGGCGGGGAGCUCUCCUCCUCUCCGCCUCUGAUCCUCCUCUUCGGCUGAGUGCGCAUGCGCGGCAGGAGCUGCGAGUGCAUUCAGCCGGUCUCAUAGGAAAGCAUUUACAAUGCUUUCCUAUGGACGCUUGCGUGUUCUCACUGUGAUUUUCACAGUGAGAAUCACGCAAGCGUCUCUAGCGGCUGUCAAUGAGACAGCCACUAGAGGAUUUGGAGGCUGGAUUAACACUAACAUAAAUUUAUAUGUUUAUUUUUUUUAAAAAAGGGUUAAUCCUAGAGGGACCUGGCACCCAGACCACGUCAUUAAGCUGAAGUGGUCUGGGUGCCUAGAGUGGUCCUUUAAUCAGUAAGCACCCCCCACUUUGCAAACUUUAUCUGACCUUUGUUUUCACUCAUUUUUUUUUUUUGACUGGAUUUCUCUUUGACUGUUUGAACUUCGGGAAAGUCUUCCUUUUCUCCGUUAUAUUUUCUCCAGUCUUUUUAGAAAUAUCUCAAAAUAUAAUUUUCUUUAGUCUCAGAAUCCAAAACUCCUGCAAAAGAAACCCAUAUAUUUCUGGAAAGUACAUCACCAGACUAUGUAACUAAGAGCAUUUUGACACUUUACAUUUAAUCAUUUUACUACGAACCUAGGUCAAAAUGUUUAAAUAUUUUCCCAGCUCAAACAGUACAGAGGGUUCUAUGAGCCAGGCAUGUUGUGCCCCACAAUCAUACUGUGCUAUUUGUUAAUAGAUCUGCAUUUGGCGCUGCGGCCACACUGAUCAUGUGGUUUGAUUACUGUCAGAGCUCCAUAUUUACAUUCCCAGCCUGCCUAUACCUUCAAAACCCUUGUUUGUUAACAUUUAAAACCCCUUGUAUGUUGCAAUGCCUCACUAUUUUAUAUAUCAUACUUCAUUUUAUAUUUUAUGUUAACUUCCGGUCAUGUGACUGUGACGUCAAAUGAUCAUUAUUUUCACAUUUUCUACCUAUAUAAGCAGCUCAGGUCCAUUCUUCUCUGUAAUUACACUUCUGAUAAAGCCAGAAAUUGGUGACACAUUAAGUGUUUCAAAUAUUAUUUUAUUGUUGUUCUUUUUUUGUUAAUCAAGUAUUUUUUUAUUGCACUUAUAUAUCUUGCUGCUUGACUCCUGCUCUAUAUAUCCUUGGUGGUGAUAAAUACCACCUACGCCCUCAGGAUUGAGCAAACCGUUAUUUGCUCUCUCAUGUAAGUAGAUUUUUUUAUUGUAUUUACAGUUAUGGUGUGCACUGUUUUUGUGCUUUAUCUUUUCCUAUUUCACUUCACAUAUAUCCUAGAGUGGGGAUCAUACCACUUCAUGCUUUACCACAGAAGCCAAUAUAGGAGGCUCUGUAACAUGUGAGUGUAUAAUUGUAUACCUAUCUACUUUCAAGAUAUUGUACGCAAAAUAUUACGCAAUAUUAUUUUAUCUGUUUUGCCCUAUAGGUCCAACAAUAAUAUCUCCCAUUAUCAGACUGGCCUGCUGUACCAUUACUACUUCAUAUCCUUAGACGAGGAUCAUUCUGCCCAAGCGCUCAAUUUGGAGCUGAGCUGAAGCUCCAGAAAAGUGUAAGUGUACAUUUGAUUUAUUUUACUUCCUCCAAGAACAUUAAGAUAUACAACAUUAUCAGUUCCUGUUUUUUCUGCUUUUAUCGUUAGAUAUAUCUCCCAAGGUAAAUCGAGGUGUCACACCAACCUCCUUGUUAUUUCUAUGAGACUACUAGAUAAGAGAAACACCAGACUUGGGUGUUAGGCUGCCUCUGUGAAUUGUACUAGUUUCUAUAAGCGCUGAAGUCUUUCCUCUUUUUUUACCAGUUAUCAAUGCCCAUCACCAAUCACUGGGCAGAGGGACAAGCAAGGAGAUAUCACCAGGGUUGGGACACACUCAAAAUUGCGUUGUAUUUAAAUGAAUUUAAAGGGUCAUGUGCAGAUUUCACGGUGAACUCCUGAGACACCUUGUUACCAUCACGGUGUUUGUCAUCAAUAGGGGUUAAAGCCCUGCACUGCAUAAUAGCAUACACCAUCAUGCGGUCCUUAAAUGGUUAAUCUACAUAUCAUGUUUUCAUUCUGUUAAUGUCCCAAGCAUUCAAUGUGCCUUUCAGGUAUAUAUUGCACUUUUAUCUGCCACGUAAUUAUACCGUACUCCAUUCAAGCUGGUUUAAGCGGGGUGCUAAUCACCCUUUCUGGUAUGUUAUGUUGGUUUUAAUGGGGCGCUAGUCACCCUUUCUGGUAUGUUAUGUUGGUUUCAGCGGGGCGCUAAUCACCCUUUCCUGUAUGUUAUGUUGGUUUCAGCGGGGCGCUAGUCACCCUUUCCUGUAUGUUAUGUUGGUUUCAGCGGGGCGCUAAUCACUGUUUCCUGUACGUUAUGUUGGUUUCAGUGGGGCGCUAAUCACCCUUUCCUGUAUGUUAUGUUGGUUUCAGCGGGGCGCUAGUCACCCUUUCCUGUAUGUUAUGCUGCUUUCAGUGGGGCGCUAAUCACCCUUUCCUGUAUGUUAUGUUGGUUUCAGCGGGGCGCUAAUCACCCUUUCCUGUAUGUUAUGUUGGUUUCAGCGGGGCGCUAAUCACCCUUUCCUGUAUGUUAUGUUGGUUUCAGCAGGGCGCUAAUCACUGUUUCCUGUACGUUAUGUUGGUUUCAGCAGGGCGCUAAUCACCCUUUCCUGUAUGUUAUGCUGAUUUCAGCAGGGCGCUAAUCACCCUUUCCUGUAUGUUAUGCUGAUUUCAGCGGGGCACUAAUCACCCUUUCCUGUAUGUUAUGCUGAUUUCAGCAGGGCGCUAGUCACCCUUUCCUGUAUGUUAUGUUGGUUUCAGUGGGGCGCUAAUCACCCUUUCCUGUAUGUUAUGUUGGUUUCAGCGGGGCGCUAAUCACCCUUUCCUGUAUGUUAUGUUGGUUGGCGCUAAUUUUCCUGUAUGUUAUGCUAAUCACCCUUUCCUGUAGCGGGGCGCUAAUCACCCUUUCCUGUUAUUUAUGCUGAUUUCAGCAGGGCGCUAAUCACCCUUUCCUGUAUGUUAUGCUGAUUUCAGCAGGGCGCUAAUCACCCUUUCCUGUAUGUUAUGCUGAUUUCAGCGGGGCGCUAAUCACCCUUUCCUGUAUGUUAUGCUGAUUUCAGCAGGGCGCUAAUCACCCUUUCCUGUAUGUUAUGCUGAUUUCAGCAGGGCGCUAAUCACCCUUUCCUGUAUGUUAUGUUGGUUUUAAUGGGGCGCUAGUCACCCUUUCCUGUAUGUUAUGUUGGUUUCAGCAGGGCGCUAAUCACCCUUUCCUGUAUGUUACGCUGGUUUCAGCGGGGCGCUAAUCACCCUUUCCUGUAUGUUAUGUUGGUUUCAGCGGGGCGCUAAUCACCCUUUCCUGUAUGUUAUGUUGGUUUCAGCGGGGCGCUAAUCACCCUUUCCUGUAUGUUAUGUUGGUUUCAGCAGGGCGCUAAUCACCCUUUCCUGUAUGUUAUGUUGGUUUCAGCGGGGCGCUAAUCACUCUUUCCUGUAUGUUAUGUUGGUUUCAGCGGGGCGCUAAUCACUCUUUCCUGUAUGUUAUGUUGGUUUCAGCGGGGCGCUAAUCACCCUUUCCUGUAUGUUAUGUUGGUUUCAGCGGGGCGCUUAUCACCCUUUCCUGCAUGAUAUGUUAGCUAAUUUCUAACUUGUUAUUGGAGAACUGAAGCCUCUUUGGUUGCAGUCUCCAAAAAAGCAAGAUGGCUGCUCACUGUGGCUAUAUUACUAUUCAUGCUUUUCUUCAAUAUCAAAGAUAAUAGAUUAAAGUAACAGCUACUGUUAGCAGACACCGUUCAUGUAAAAACCACUACUCUUUAACAAUAUUUAUAUUUUAAAACUUAAACAGUUCAGUGUUCUUUAACAAAAAGUGUCUCUUCAAAGUUGAAUUGCCACAGAUCCUGUUAUAUGAAAUCCUGAAAUUACCUUACACAUGCAAGCCUCUUUACUUUCUAAAUGAAAAUAAAAAUCACUCUGGCGGAUUCUGUACAUCUGCUAUAACGUUUAGUGAUGAAAGCCGUUCGAAACUCUUAAGAUAUAUUCUUAUUAACCCCGUAAAAAAUUUCCACUAAGAAAUGACUGCAUGCUUCAUAUAGAGCUAAUUAAACAGUCCGCCAGCCAUAGUGUAUCUUUGGUAACCUAGAAGGAGUCCGUUCCUUUUCUCCACUCUAAAUACUAUUUUGCUCAUGUUGCUGUGGUUAUAAAUAACCUGUUAGUGUUUAAGUAGCAGAUGCACAAUGUUCAAUAAAAGGCCCUGUUACAGAAUGGCCUCUGCACAUCAGUUCCUUCAGCUCUAGCCAAACUUCCCUGGCAAGUGGGCUUAGACAUAUAAGUGCUAUUUUGCCGUUUCAUUCCUUCUUCAGCCCUGCUUCCCGUUGAGUUGAUAAACAAAGGAAGGAACAGCUGAAAAGAUACUUUAACUUGUAAUCAUAGAGCCUGUGGCAUUCCAGGGAGUGAUAAUUAACAGGAAAUGUUUUCUCAAGCUUUGCGGUCCUUGUUUAAAGGGGGAAAUACUUCAGGAAAUUAUAAUUACUUGAUGGCAAGUUUUGGCAGGUAAAGAAACGGCCAAAAAUAUAUAUAUCUUUGCUAUAGUAAAUAUUGUAAUACAUUUUCUCUCAUUUCCAGCCUUUUAUAUGUUGUUUUCAUGGGGUAAAUUCUGUAUGGACCCAAGCUGCUCUAAUCACAAACUGAAAUGAACUCUGCACUUUGAAAGUGCUGCUUGACUGUAUGGUGGGUGUCAUGAUCCUGGGGUGAAAUCAUUCAGCCAAACAUAGAGCAUUUGUUUGGGACCCAAACUGGUUAUUUCAUUAAUUUCAUAUAAAUAGCCGAUCAAUGCCACAUACUGUUGGGCAGCACUUCCAAACCUUUCUCCACAGAAUUCAUAAGCAGUCAUAAAAAAAAUCAUAUUGGUAAACCUAACUAAUCAACCCCCCCCCCCCCAGUAAUUUAGAGAGGUUUCAGCUCCUAUAUGUAGUACACAGAGUCAACGGAUGUUAUAGGAGCUUUCACCAUGACGUUACAACCAUAACAGACGUUCUUCCGGGUGGCAAAAGCUGAAGCGUUCUCCGAUGGCACCACUAGUAAAUUGCUUUAUAACGGAGUCUGUCCCCUCACAUCGCGGCAGACUCCGUUAUAAAGCUAUUUACUAUUAUUAUUAUUGCCAUUUAUAUAGCGCCAACGGAUUCCGUAGCGCUUUACAAUAUUUUGAGAGGGGGGGUGUAACAAUAAGUGGUGCCAUCGGACUUCCCGCUCAUAACAUACAUACCGCUGGCGUUCAUAACAUACAUACCACUCAUGACAUGAGCGCGAACGGCAGGCUUUCUGCUCCCUCUUCUCAUUUUGCUGCCAUCCCUGAAGGGGCGCUUCCCUCCUGUCUUCCUGCACUGUGCGGCGGAUCUCUGUCUGCUCGGUCUCCCCAGUAAGAGCGCAGGCUGGCCUGUAGCAGACAGGCAGGAUGAGUGAUGGGUGACCGGGUGUGAGCUGCUGACCACCGGUGCUGACAGGUUGCGGGGGCCCCGGCCUUUCCCUGCCCGGUGACUGUGGGCAUCCAGUGACAGGUCGCACGCAGCCCAUCAGGGAGGGGGCUCUGGUCUGCCGGUACGAGGGUCCGGGGCCUCCAUGCUCUCCACAGUGUCUGGCUGGAUGUCCAGUUAACCCGUUCAGUGCCAGGGUUAACCCUUUUAGUGCCAGGUGGGUGCCUAGCGCUUCACGGCCUUCUCUGGCACUCUUAGGGUUAACUAGAUGUCAAUACACAAUGUGUGUUACCCUGGGGUGAUGGGUUAACCUUUUAAUCACUGGCUGGCUCAACACAUGGAGGGAUGGUAGUGGUGGUGUUAACCUCUGUCAUGCCGGUGCUGUGCCCCACGCAGUGCUGGUUUGCCUGCGGUGAGCUGCGUGUCUGGGGCCCCAUCCUGUCUCUGGCUCAGGGAGUAGCACCACGUGGUGACACAAAGGAUGGAUUGGUGAAUCAUUAACCCCGGCUCGGGGCUACAUCCAAUCCAUGCUACUAAAUCACCAUUUCGGCUACCUGGCGGUGGUUUGUGACCGGUAACAGGAUUCUGGUUCCAGACAUGAGCCUGGUGACGUGACUGUUCUUACCUUUUAGGUUCUGCAGGAAGGCAAUGGAGAGCUAGUAUUGAGGGCUGCCACCCGGAAGUAUCUUGGUGCCUAUUGUUUACAAACAUUCUGAAUCCGUGUAUGCUUGCUCUCAUUAAGCCCGUAUUCAGUGCAGUGUACAAAGAAAUUAGGGCAAAAGACACAGAGUUGCUCUCUUUAACUUCCCUUGAAGCAAAAAGUUUGCUACCCAUUAAAAAUUAACUGCAACUAGUUGACUUGUUUGCACUACUGAAAAUCCAACUACCAGUUAGCUAUAGGUGUCGUUAUUAUGCUUUAGUAAAUAUCACUAGUUUAAUUAUAUUUAAUUUACAAAUAAAUGAAUAAAACAGAUGUUAGCUUCAUGGAGCGGUUUUGGUGUAUAGCUCAUGCCCCUGUAGUCUCACUGCACAAUUUUCUGCCAUUUAGUAAUUAUAUAACUUUACUUUUGUUUAUGCAGCCUUAGUCACAUCUCCCUGCAUGUGAAUUACACAGCCUUCCUAAACACUUUCUGUAAAGAGAGAUCUAAUGUUUACACUUCCUUUACUGCAGAUUCUGUUUCAUUUAGAAUUUCUUAUCUCCUGCUCUGUUAAUAGCUUGCUAGACCCUGCAGGGGCCUCCUACAUGUAAUUAAAGUUAAAUUUACAGAACAGAAGUUAAUAACUUCUAAAGCAAGUUAAAAGGACACUAUAGCUAAAACAACUUUAGUUUAAUGAAGUAGUUUGUGUAUAGAUAAUGCCUCUGAAGUUUCACUGCUCAGCUCACUGUAUUUAGAAGUUAAAUCACUUUUGUUUCUGUCCACACAGCCCUAGCCACACCUCCCCUGGCUGUGAUUGACACAGUCUGCAUGAAAACAAAAUGGUUUCAUUUUCUAUCAGAUGUUAUCUCAUUUUAAAAGUUAUUUCAUUUUUGCCAGGGUCUAGCAAGCUAUUAAGAGUGCAGGAGAUAAAUUCUAAAUUAAACAGAUUUUGCAAUAAAGGAAAUGUAAACAUUAGAUGACUCUUUACAGGAAGUGUUUGGAACGCUGUGGGAGUCACAUGCAGGGAGGUGUGCCUAAGGUUCUAUAAACUAAGUGAUUAACUCCUAAAUGGCAGCGAACUGAGCAUUGAGACUGCAAGGGCCUGAUCUAUACACCAAAACGGCUUCAUUACGUUAAAGUUGAUGUGAUACCUAAACAGUGCAUUUAAAUUGGCCCACAAUGCAGGAGUGCAGGUGAAAACUAUAUGCUCCCUUAGAGGUCCAGGGAUUACUAUGGGCUUUGGUUCCUAUGCCCAUAAUCUGGUUUCAGGCUUUUAUAUCUGCCUGGCAGUUUCUAUUACACUUUCUAGGUGUAAAUACUAAGAUACAAAUUAUUCCAGUAUUUAUUACAUAUCUACGAGCUGUGCCUUUGUGUGAAAUGCUAAUACAGUUCUAUUUUAUGUUUCCAGUUAAUCAAGUUUGCUACAGUAGAGGGCAUGAAUCCAGUCAGAUUUGCAAGGCUGUUUUGUGAGAUAACGUAUAGGGGACAUUAUGCUGAGUCCCAUUCAGUAUAUUUGGCCCAGCGCACCAUCUGUUGCACAGACAUACUGUAAACAAUAUCACUUUAAAAUAUGUAAUUCACUGUCUCAUAACCUCUGCAAAGAAUUUACACAUAUCAUUAUGUCUGGACCGCUUCUAAUGGCAACAAUAUAUUCUUUUUAUACGGCAGCUGGAAUUCCCAUGACUUUUUCUAUAGUAGAUUACACUUUACUUAGUAAGGAGCUAUUAUGUGUCACCUGCCAAUACACAACCAAUAAUAGAAGUUUGGCAAACUAUCCCAUUAUUAUUAUUUUUAGCAUUUAUAUGGCUGCAACAUUUUCUGCAGAAUUUUUAAUUAACAAACGGUAAUUGGCAAAAAUAAUGUUGACAAACACAAGAGCUGAAGAACGCCCUGCUCAAACAAACUUCUAACCUAGGAGCUUCCUACUUUCAAAUUUGCACAGUAGUUACAUUUAAAGUGGCUCUGUCACCCCCACCCCGAAAAAUGAGAAUUGACUAAAGAUAGUCUCUGAUGAAAUCCUCUUUUCCACUGUGUUGGAAUGUCACUGAAAUUCCAGCCCAGUCAAGAGACAUACAGAGGCAGAGUAGGGACUUCCUACGCCUGACACUUCUAGACACUGGGCAGAGCUACCACCAUCUAGAAUUGUCAAUCCCCCAGCCGUCCUCUGUGAUUGCUGCAGGAAAUUGGUUCCUUCUAUGGGGUUUGUGUCGGUCUUGCAAAUUAUGCAAAUUCCCCAGACAAGAGUGCCACUUUAAAUCACAGUUCGAUACAGAGUGAACUGAUAAACUUGUUGGAUAAACUAGAAUGUAUUGUAACAAUAUCAUAAAUUUACCUAUAAAAGUAAUAAAAAUGGGAAAUGGUGUGUUUGUCCUGUAAACAAGAUGAAUGUGUAACUGGAUACGCCGUAUCCCACCAUCACUAAUAUGCUAUUCAGUGACAUACUGACAUACUCCAAGGCGGUGGAGAGAAAUCUUCCAGUUCCCAUAAUGCACCUGCUACCUGGCAGAAGCAAACAUGAGAUUUCAAACACAAAUUUCUCUUAACAGACUCUCACCCCACACCAGUAACAAAAAGGCCUGCUACCCCAACAUAGCUAGCAGUUUAUAUCACAGUGCAUAUAAAUCGCAACAGUCACAUUUAUGAGUUUUUGCAUAUUUUGUGCAUUUGAGAGAAUACAACACUGAGGUCUCUUGACUAUCCCACAUGAGCCUUCAUAGAUCACGUCUCGCAAGAUGACGCAUGAUUCCUGCUGGGAUUGGACAAAAGGUGACAGAAUUUACCACAAUGCAUGGUAGUCCACGGAGUCCCUACUUUGUCUUCUGGUAUGUUUGGAUUGACUUGGAAUUUCAGUGGAAUACCAACACGGCAUGAGAAUUACAUCUUUAGGAAAUACUCAAAGUGACAGAACUGCUUUCAUUCUUUUAGUCUCUAUUUAUUUUAUCAUCCCACUUGUGAAGUGCAAAGUCAUUACAAGAAUAACCAGAGUCACUGUCCAAAUUCUUGUGGACCACAGUGUUUACAAAAAACACAUUAUUUAACCCCUUAAGGAAACAUGACGCGUGACAUGUCAUGAUUCCCUUUUAUUCCAGAAGUUUUGUCCUUAAGGGGUUAAAAACUUUAUUUACUAUUAACAAAAUCACCAGCACAUUUUGCAGCAGGACGAUUACUCUUCUAAAUUGUACUCUAUCUAGCACACAUCAAUUACCUAGUACAGCAAAUAGCUUUUCUCGUGUAAAAAAAUCAUGCUGAAAUAUAUAUAUUUUUUUUAAAGUUUAAGACAGCUGUUUUUGCUCUAGACGUGAUUGUUGCAUCCUGUAUAGUAUCUGCUUCAACACAUCGUUUAUUAUGUGUAGGGAUCAUGAAUAAUGCAUACAGUAAGAGAAAUAUUUCCUUUUUUUAUAGCUCAAGAUUAGGUCAAAUCAAGGUUCAAACCAUAUGGACAGGAACUUCCAAUAUCAAAAAUCCAAAAUUCUUCUCUCUUCCCCAACAUUUUUCCUG